UGGGGAAUAUUGGACAAUGGGCGCAAGCCUGAUCCAGCCAUGCCGCGUGUGUGAAGAAGGCCUUCGGGUUGUAAAGCACUUUUGUUGGGAAAGAAAUCCUGUCGGCGAAUACCCGGCGGGGAUGACGGUACCCAAAGAAUAAGCACCGGCUAACUUCGUGCCAGCAGCCGCGGUAAUACGAAGGGUGCAAGCGUUACUCGGAAUUACUGGGCGUAAAGCGUGCGUAGGCGGUUCGUUAAGUCUGUCGUGAAAGCCCUGGGCUCAACCUGGGAAUUGCGAUGGAUACUGGCGGGCUAGAGUACGGUAGAGGAUGGUGGAAUUCCCGGUGUAGCGGUGAAAUGCGUAGAGAUCGGGAGGAACACCCGUGGCGAAGGCGGCCAUCUGGACCAGUACUGACGCUGAGGCACGAAAGCGUGGGGAGCAAACA
rnacentral:rRNA from 1 species